rnacentral:lncRNA from 1 species
UUCAGAUCAAUAUUUCAGCAUAAUGAUAUUGAAGAAAUAAUAUCAUUACAAAAAAAAAUAAUAUCCCUUACCUCGGAAAGACAGUACUUCUAACUGGAAUACUGGAUAUAGGCUAUAACUUGAACUUUCACCGUAUAGCAAUACUCAAAGUAUACUCAAAAUACUCACAAGAAUACGCUCGAUAAUAUAGAGAGAGAAAACUUCAGUUUCUGGUGUGAUUUUCAAUUCUAACCUAAGCACCAUAUUUAUAGGAAAAUGCUUAGAACACCAAAG